rnacentral:rRNA from 1 species
GAGCUAACGCGUUAAGUCGACCGCCUGGGGAGUACGGCCGCAAGGUUAAAACUCAAAUGAAUUGACGGGGGCCCGCACAAGCGGUGGAGCAUGUGGUUUAAUUCGAUGCAACGCGAAGAACCUUACCUACUCUUGACAUCCAGAGAAUUUAGCAGAGAUGCUUUGGUGCCUUCGGGAACUCUGAGACAGGUGCUGCAUGGCUGUCGUCAGCUCGUGUUGUGAAAUGUUGGGUUAAGUCCCGCAACGAGCGCAACCCUUAUCCUUUGUUGCCAGCGGUUCGGCCGGGAACUCAAAGGAGACUGCCAGUGAUAAACUGGAGGAAGGUGGGGAUGACGUCAAGUCAUCAUGGCCCUUACGAGUAGGGCUACACACGUGCUACAAUGGCAUAUACAAAGAGAAGCGACCUCGCGAGAGCAAGCGGACCUCAUAAAGUAUGUCGUAGUCCGGAUUGGAGUCUGCAACUCG